rnacentral:misc_RNA from 1 species
GAUGAAGAACGCAGCGAAAUGCGAUAAGUAAUGUGAAUUGCAGAAUUCAGUGAAUCAUCGAAUCUUUGAACGCACAUUGCGCCCCCUGGUAUUCCGGGGGGCAUGCCUGUCCGAGCGUCAUUACAACCCUCAAGCUCAGCUUGGUGUUGGGCCCCGCCGCCCCGGCGGGCCCUAAAGUCAGUGGCGGUGCCGUCCGGCUCCGAGCGUAGUAAUUCUUCUCGCUCUGGAGGUCCGGUCGUGUGCUCGCCAGCAACCCCCAAUUUUUUUCAGGUUGACCUCGGAUCAGGUAGGGAUACCCGCUGAACUUAAGUAUAUCAAUAAGCGGAGGA